GAAUUUUUAGGAUCUUGUGAGGAUUUUUGAGAUCCCAACAGGAAUUUUGGGAUUUUUUCCCACUUUUUCCCCUCCUGGCGCUGCCCCCCUGCAGCUCCAGCUCAGGUUUCCUGCUGUGGAUCUUCAUUAAUUAUUCCUAAAUUCAUUAAUUAUUCCUGAUUUCAUUUCAUUAAUUAUUCCUGAUCCCAUGAAUUAUUCCUGAUUUCCUUGGGAUCCAUUUCAGGAUCCAAUUCCGGCCUUUUCCCAGCGUUUUUCCCCAAAACCCUCCCGGAUUUCUGGGUGGGAUCCCAAAAUCCCAACUCUGGAGGGUUGGGAAAAGAAUCCCAGAAAAAAGGGAAAAAUCUCUUUAUUUUUCCCUUCCCAAAAACUCUCAAAAUUCCAUUUUCCAGCCCCUUUUAUUCCCCUAUUUUCCCUCCAAUUUUCCACCCCUAUUUUUUCCCCUUUCCCACCUUUUUUUCCCAUCUUUUUUUACCAUUUUCCAUCUUUUUUUUGGUUUUUUUUUGCCAUUUCCCACCUUUUUUCCACCUCUUUCCUCUCCUGUUUUUUUCCCUUUUUCCCCCUUUCCCACUCAUUUUCCAUCCCGUUUUUUUCCCUUUUCCAGCUUUUAUUUUCCCUUCCUUUUUUCCCCUUUUGCCAUCAUUUUCCACCCUGUUUUUUCCCCUUUCCAGUUUUUUUUCCAGUUCUUUCCCAUCCCUUUUCCCAUCUUUUAUUACCAUUUUCCCACCUUUUCCCCCUUAUUUUUCCAUCCUAUUUUCCCUAUUUUUCCAUCUUCUUCCCUUUUUUACAUUUUUCCCUUUUUCCCACCCUUUUCUCUCAUUUUCCACCCAUUUUUGUCCAUCUUUUUUCCCCCUUUUUCCCACCCUUUUCCCUCAUUUUCCCAUCUUUUUUCCUUUUCCCCCUUUCCUCCCUUUUUCAUUUCUUUUCUCUCAUUUUCCAUCUUUUUUUUUCUUCAUUUUUCCAUCCUUUUCCCCCUUUCCUAUCCCUUUUCCCUCCCCUUUUCCCCCUCAUUUUCCCAUCAUUUUUCCCCUCNNNNNNNNNNNNNNNNNNNNNNNNNNNNNNNNNNNNNNNNNNN
rnacentral:lncRNA from 1 species